AGGAAAAGAAACCAACAGGGAUUGCCCUAGUAACGGCGAGUGAAGCGGCAACAGCUCCAAAUUUGAAAUCUGGCCCUCGUGGUCCGAGUUGUAAUUUGUAGAGGAUGCUUUGGGUGCGGCGCCUUCCAAGUUCCCUAGAACGGGACGCCUUAGAGGGUGAGAGCCCCGUACGGUUGGACGCCUAGCCUAUGUAUAGCUCCUUCGACGAGUCGAGUAGUUUGGGAAUGCUGCUCUAAAUGGGAGGUAAAUUUCUUCUAAAGCUAAAUACCGGCCAGAGACCGAUAGCGCACAAGUAGAGUGAUCGAAAGAUGAAAAGUACUUUGAAAAGAGGGUUAAAUAGCACGUGAAAUUGUUGAAAGGGAAGCGUUUGCGACCAGACCUUUUCCAGGCGGAUCAUCCGGCGUUCUCGCCGGUGCACUUCGCCUGGUUUAGGCCAGCAUCGGUUUUCCCAGGGGGAUAAAGGCGGCGGGAACGUGGCUCUCUCGGGAGUGUUAUAGCCCGCCGCGUAAUACCCUUGGGGGGACCGAGGACCGCGCUUCGGCAAGGAUGCUGGCGUAAUGGUCGUCAACGACCCGUCUUGAAACACGGACCAAGGAGUCGAACAUUUGUGCGAGUGUUUGGGUGUCAAACCCUCACGCGUAAUGAAAGUGAACGGAGGUGAGAGCCCCUCGCGGGUGCAUCAUCGACCGAUCCUGAUGUCUUCGGAUGGAUUUGAGUAAGAGCAUAACUGUUCGGACCCGAAAGAUGGUGAACUAUGCGUGGAUAGGGUGAAGCCAGAGGAAACUCUGGUGGAGGCUCGCAGCGGUUCUGACGUGCAAAUCGAUCGUCAAAUCUGCGCAUGGGGGCGAAAGACUUAUCGAACCAUCUA
rnacentral:rRNA from 1 species